GCUUAGCUGAUCCACAAUGGUUAUGUGCCAUUUUAGGCAUGGGAUGUGGCUAUAUGCAUAUGUCCUGCAGCAUGUAAAGUGAGGUAGAAAAUGCAAGAGGGACAUAGCUAGGUCUCUGCACAUUUCACAAUGUGCAUUUCGUUAAUGGCCAGACACUAGCACUUCAAGUGGCUAGGGAUCUCUUGUUGUUUGAUUUACUGAAUAUGAGGAAAGUCACUCCAGGCAGAUUAAAUCCAUUCUUCCUAAAUCAUGUUCUAUGGGUUCUUCUAAGUAGAUCUCAAAACUCUUAAUUACUACUUGUCAUGUAAGCAUCAACAUUCUUAGUUUUUUGAGACUUGGUUGGGAUAGAAAGAGUUUGGUGCAUAAAUAAACUGAUUAAAGCAAUAACACAAGGAUAGGUGAAAAGAAGAGAAGAACAGAAAGUGGUUGAGGGUUUUGGGGCAUUGAGCUUAUUGUGUCAGCAGAAGGGUGUGCUCCACAUUGAGUUCUUGAUGUUUUUCUUUACCUUUUUUAUUAUUUUUUUAUUUUUUAAAUUCAGUUAUUUGAUGAAGUUCUUAACCACUUAUUUCAAAGAUUAGUUGCUAGCCUUCAUGAGCUGCUACCUAACAGUUAACAGGGUUUUCUGUCACUUGUAAUGCAACACGUUCACUGUAUAUGAUGGCAUGGAUAAACUUCAUUCCUGACUGUCUAAAUGCGGUCCCUAUUGUGAUAGGAACAUAGCCCGAAAUUCAUGCUGAUUGGACAAUCCUAAGUGUUUGCUUGGUGAUGAUGGUUAAAAUGGUGGCUGAUCCCUUAUUCUAAUGGUUAUGGACAUGUGAAACAUCUUGCUUUAAUAUGCAGCUGUUUCAGUAAAUCAUCUAUAAAUGAGCCCCAUGACAUAUUUUGGAUGGAUCCCAUAACCAAUUCAUGCUAUCAAAGUCAAUAUAUAAUUGUGUUUGGAAUGUGUGUGGGAAACAGAAGCAUGAGCAGCCUUUAAUCGCCC